GAAAGAGAGGGAAAGAAAUGCGACAAAUUGUCAGACGGUCGGAUUCGAACCGUUGACGUCGUGGCUCACAAUGAGCAUGCGUUCAGUGCUCUGCAGGCUGCCUGUAUCUUGUAUCUUGUAUGUGUUAAUUUCCUAUGAAUCAGUAAUGUUCAUAUCGUGCAUCUCCAAAACAACCAGCACCUCUCUUAUAGUCAUGCUGGCCUUUGUCUCUUUCCCACAGGUGAAAGGAGCGCUUGUGAUGAACAUCUUCAGUGCCAUCUCUGCUGGCAUUGCUGUCAUAAUUUUCUCUCUGGACUGUGUGAUAGACUUAAGAUUUUACUUUUGCUAUGACUAUGACUAUGACAGUGAGAGUGGCUAUUCAACCAGCACCUACGUCUGUCAGAUACUCCGGCGUGUACUCAAGGUCCAACAGUAACAUCACUAUCAUCUCUGUAGUUAACAACUGAAUGUGCUAUACACAUGUGACUCAGAUAAUAAAUCACAAUGAGCCCUUCCAACUUAUUCCCGAUUUAUGGGCUCUGUAAUCCAGCCAAGAAAGACUGAGCUAUACAUACUGGAAAUAUUUUAACAAGUCUUAAGUAUUUGUUAUGCACAAGUCCAAGUCUGGGAUAUAAGUAUUGCAGCGAAUGAUAUUGCUGCCAUUGAUGUGUUGAUCGGUUUCUCUUUGAACAGACCAGGUCAAAUGGGAUCACAGGAGUACUGCUGUUGUUAUCCAUCCUGGAGUUCAUCAUCUCCAUCUGUGUGUCAGCAUUCGCCUGCAGAGCAGUGUGUAACUGCUCCUCAGAGGUGGCAUGCCGUAUACACAAGCAGUCAAGUCUCAUCAGAAAAUCUUCUCAUCUCAACAAAUACUUAUGGAGGAACUCAUCUUGCAUGUAUUAACCAACCAUGCAUCCAAUAAUAAACAGGAAAU